rnacentral:rRNA from 1 species
GUGGGGAAUAUUGGACAAUGGGGGGAACCCUGAUCCAGCCAUGCCGCGUGUGUGAAGAAGGCCUUAUGGUUGUAAAGCACUUUAAGCGAGGAGGAGGCUACUGAGACUAAUACUCUUGGAUAGUGGACGUUACUCGCAGAAUAAGCACCGGCUAACUCUGUGCCAGCAGCCGCGGUAAUACAGAGGGUGCGAGCGUUAAUCGGAUUUACUGGGCGUAAAGCGUGCGUAGGCGGCUUUUUAAGUCGGAUGUGAAAUCCCCGAGCGUAACUUGGGAAUUGCAUUCGAUACUGGGAAGCUAGAGUAUGGGAGAGGAUGGUAGAAUUCCAGGUGUAGCGGUGAAAUGCGUAGAGAUCUGGAGGAAUACCGAUGGCGAAGGCAGCCAUCUGGCCUAAUACUGACGCUGAGGUACGAAAGCAUGGGGAGCAAACAGGAUUAGAUACCCGAGUAGUCC